rnacentral:rRNA from 1 species
AACGAACGCUGGCGGCAUGCCUAACACAUGCAAGUCGAACGAGACCUUCGGGUCUAGUGGCGCACGGGUGCGUAACGCGUCGGAAUCUUCCCUCAUGUUCGGCAUACCUCAGAGAAAUUUGAGCUAAUACCGGAUGAUGACGUAUGUCCAAUGAUUUAUCGCCUGAGGAUGAGCGCGCUUAGGAUUAGGUGGUUGUUAAGGUAAAAGCUCACCAAGCCGCCGAUCCUUAGCUGGUUAGAGAGGAUGGUCAGCGACACUGAGACUGAGACGCGGCCCGGACUCCUACGCAAGGGAGGAGUGGGUGAUAGUGGAAAAUGGGCGGAAGCAUGAUGGAGUUAUGCUGCGUGAGUGAUGAAGGUCUUAGGGUUGUAAAGCGCAUUUACCCGGGAUGAUAAUGACAGUACCGGGAGAAUAAGCUCCGGCUAACUCCGUG